ensembl:lncRNA
AUGAUUGGACAUACAUUUAUUAAUGAAGGUCCACUCUACUCAGGACUUACUCCAGCUUUUUUCUCCCCUUUAAGUGGCAGUAAGGAGGAUACUCCAGUUUUGGAAUUGAAGGACUGUCCUGAUACAGAUGUGUCCCUUCUGGAAAGCCAGAAUGAACUGAAUCAGAAUGAUGUAGAUAAUAUCAACAACCUGGCCAUCAACUGGGACUUGUCAGCAACAGCAACAGAAUGUGGUUGGCAGAAACCAUUCUCCACCAUGGGGUUAUUGGUCGACGUGAAAAACAGAUUUCUCAGCUGCGGAGAGGACUCAAAGAUACAGGUGUUUUGAGAAUGAUAAAAGAACGACCCAGUUUAACUGCAGUACUGUUUCCCAGAUCUUCUGCACUGCUGAUGGAACCAGAGCUAACUGGUCUAUUCUACUUCAGAGAAUAGACCAUAUGGAAGCCAUUGCACUAAAUCAGCGGUUCUCAAUUCCAGUCCUCGCGCCCCCCAGCUCUGCAUAUUUUGCAUGUCUCUCUGUUAACACACCUGAUUCAGAUAAUCAGCUCCUUAGAAGUGAGCUCCGUGCAUGAACUGUGUUCCCACUGACAUGCUCCCUCCACAGUGUUCAUUGCUCCCUACUCCCUGAGCAGGGGAUAUCUGUUGAAGUUUACCUCACUUCGGAACAUUCAUUCACGGAUUUGCGCUGCGCAACGUCUUCACACACGGACAAGUUUGACAUCAUAUACGUCUGUAAAUAAAUACAAUUUAAAUUCACGUCUCA